rnacentral:rRNA from 1 species
AGCCCACCCUAGCCCAAUCACACCACCACUUGACAACUAAUAACUUACUUUAUCACACAAACCAAAACAUUCUACCAACUUAGUAUAGGCGAUAGAAAAGACUCCUUGGCGCAAUAGAAACUUGUACCGUAAGGGAAAGAUGAAAUAAUAAUGAAAAACUAAGCAACAAAAAGCAAAGAUGAACCCUUGUACCUUUUGCAUCAUGAUUUAGCAAGAAUAACCAAGCAAAGCGAACUUAAGCUUGCCUCCCCGAAACUCAGGCGAGCUACUUGCAGGCAGCUAUUUAUGAGCGAACCCGUCUCUGUCGCAAAAGAAUGGGACGACUUGCCAGUAGAGGUGAAAAGCCAACCGAGCCGAGUGAUAGCUGGUUGCCUGUGAAACGAAUCUAAGUUCCCCCUCGAUCUCUCCUCCCCCAGGACACCUUAAACCUCAAUGUAGCAGAUCUAGAGUUAUUUAAAGGGGGUACAGCCCCUUUAAAAAAGAAAACACCCUCCCCUAGCGGAUAACCACCAAAUCUUCUUAGAGUGUAGGCCUUCAAGCAGCCACCAAUAGAGAAUGCGUCACAGCUCCACUUUAAAAAUUCAAUAACAAAAUGAAUCCCUUCCCACUAGCAGGCCAAUCUAUGACAAUAGAAGAAUCUAUGCUAAAAUGAGUAACUAGGGAUAACCCCUCUAAGCGCAAACUUACAUCCUACAUUAUUAACAAACCAUAAACUAAUAUUUCAACUCUAACAAGAUUAAAAUAUUUAACAAACCUUGUUACCCCAACCCAGGAGCGCUAAAUUAGAAAGAUUAAAAUCUGUAAAAGGAACUAGGCAAACCUAAGGCCCGACUGUUUACCAAAAACAUAGCCUUCAGCUAACCAAGUAUUGAAGGUGAUGCCUGCCCAGUGACAUAUUGUUCAACGGCCGCGGUAUCCUAACCGUGCAAAGGUAGCGCAAUCAAUGUCCCAUAAAUCGAGACUUGUAUGAAUGGCUAAACGAGGUCUUAACUGUCUCCUACAGAUAAUCAGUGAAAUUGAUCUCCCCGUGCAAAAGCAGGAAUAACCCCAUAAGACGAGAAGACCCUGUGGAACUUAAAAAUCAACGGCCACCACAUACAAACCAAAACCUACUAGGCUUACGCCUACACAAAACACUGGCCGACAUUUUUCGGUUGGGGCGACCUUGGAGCACAAAGAACCCUCCAAAAACAAGACUAACCCUCUUAACCAAGAACCACACUUCAACGUGCUAAUAGCAACCAGACCCAAUAAUACUUGACAAAUGGACCAAGCUACCCCAGGGAUAACAGCGCAAUCCCCUUCAAGAGCCCACAUCGACAAGGGGGUUUACGACCUCGAUGUUGGAUCAGGACAUCCUAAUGGUGCAGCCGCUAUUAAGGGUUCGUUUGUUCAACGAUUAAUAAUCCUACGUGAUCUGAGUUCAGACCGGAGCAAUCCAGGUCGGUUUCUAUCUAUGACUAACUUUUCCUAGUACGAAAGGACCGGAAAAGUAGGGCCAAUACUCUAAGCACGCCCUUCCUCUAAGUAAUGAGCCCCACUAAAUUACCAGAGGUACCCUCCCCUAAUCCUAAAAAAGGACCG